UUUAUCAAGAGUAGCGGAGGGACUGGCCCGUUGAAGCUCGGCAACCGUUCACGUUUUACGUGAAAAGGUGCUAAUUCCAGCAGAACAUGUAUGUUUUGAAAGAUAAGG
rnacentral:ncRNA from 1 species